UACGGCGGGGGGAUGACGGUACCGGAAGAAUAAGCACCGGCUAACUACGUGCCAGCAGCCGCGGUAAUACGUAGGGUGCGAGCGUUAAUCGGAAUUACUGGGCGUAAAGCGUGCGCAGGCGGUUCGUUAAGACAGAUGUGAAAUCCCCGGGCUUAACCUGGGAACUGCAUUUGUGACUGGCGGGCUAGAGUAUGGCAGAGGGGGGUAGAAUUCCACGUGUAGCAGUGAAAUGCGUAGAGAUGUGGAGGAAUACCGAUGGCGAAGGCAGCCCCCUGGGCCAAUACUGACGCUCAUGCACGAAAGCGUGGGGAGCAAACAGGAUUAGAUACCCUGGUAGUCCACGCCCUAAACGAUGUCAACUAGUUGUCGGGUCUUCAUUGACUUGGUAACGUAGCUAACGCGUGAAGUUGACCGCCUGGGGAGUACGGUCGCAAGAUUAAAACUCAAAGGAAUUGACGGGGACCCGCACAAGCGGUGGAUGAUGUGGAUUAAUUCGAUGCAACGCGAAAAACCUUACCUACCCUUGACAUGGACGGAACCUGGCUGAAAGGCCGGGGUGCUCGAAAGAGAACCGUCGCACAGGUGCUGCA
rnacentral:rRNA from 1 species